rnacentral:rRNA from 1 species
GACGAACGCUGGCGGCGUGCUUAACACAUGCAAGUCGAGCGGUAAGGCCCUUUCGGGGGUACGACGAGCGGCGAACGGGUGAGUAACACGUGGGUGACCUGCCCUCAGCUCUGGGAUAAGCCUGGGAAACUGGGUCUAAUACUGGAUAUGACUCCACGGUGCAUGUCGUGGGGUGGAAAGCCUUGUGCGGCUGAGGAUGGGCCCGCGGCCUAUCAGCUUGUU